rnacentral:tRNA from 1 species
CGGGGCGUAGCGCAGUCCGGUAGCGCACAUGCUUCGGGAGUAUGGAGUCGCUGGUUCAAAUCCAGUCGCCCCGACAA